AUCCCAGUUCGGAUUGCAGGCUGCAACCCGCCUGUAUGAAGUUGGAAUCGCUAGUAAUCGCGGAUCAGCAUGCCGCGGUGAAUACGUUCCCGGGCCUUGUACACACCGCCCGUCACACCAUGAGAGUCGGGAACACCCGAGGUCCGUAGCCUAACCGCAAGGGGGGCGCGGCCGAAGGUGGGUUCGAUAAUUGGGGUGAAGUCGUAACAAGGUAGC
rnacentral:rRNA from 1 species